rnacentral:misc_RNA from 1 species
UGUGAGAGCGAGCCUUGCUCGCGAUAGCGGUGUGUCAGCGGACACUGGUUUCACUGACAUACCGCUAUCGCGAGCAGGCUCGCUCCCACA